GGGGAUUUGCAAAGAGAAAACGCAUGAUGUUUCCCAAAAUGGCGGAUUUGCGAAGAGAAAACGUGUGAUUUUUGCUUAAAUGUGGGAUUCUUGAUGAGAAAACGCGUGAUUUUCGCAUCAAUGGGGGAUUUGCGAAGAGAAAAGCGCGUGAUUUUCGCAUCAAUGGGGGGUUUUCGAAGAGAAAAUGCGUGAUUUUCUGACUAAAUGGCAGAUUUGCGAAAAGAAAACGCGUGAUUUUCGCUUCAAUGGGGGAUUUGAGAAGAGAAAACACGUGAUUUUCGCAUUAAAUGCGGAAUUCUCGAAGAGAAAACGCGUGAUUUUCGCUUAAAUGGGGGAUUUGCGAAGAGAAAUGCGUGUUUUUUGCUUAAAUGGGGGAUUUUCGAAGAGAAAAUGCGUGAUUUUCUGGUUACAUGGGGGAUUUGCGAAGAGAAAACGUCUGUUUUUCGCUUAAAUGGGGGAUUUUCGAAGAGAAAACGCGUGAUUUUCGCAUCAGUGGGGGAUUCUCGAAAAGGCGUGAUUUUCGCUUAAAUGGGGGAUUUGUGAAGAGAAAACGUCUGUUUUUCGCUUAAAUGGGGGAUUUGCAAAGAGAAAACACGUAAUAUUCGCUUAAAUGGGGGAUGCUCAAAGAGAAAACGUGAUUUUCGCUUAAAUGUGGUAUUUCUGAAGAGAAAACGCGUGAUUUUCAGGUUCAAUGGGGAUUCUCGAAGAGAAACUGC
ensembl:lncRNA